ACUGGAUUACAGGUAUGUUGGCAUCUUUUUCAUUCCUGCAUAUCAUUACACUAUGCGUGAAUACAUGGUGUCAUGUCAUGGGUGUCAUGUCUCACGAUGCUGGGGAAGUAGUUGCAAGGGGAAGUGUGCAUGGUUCUAGACUUUUAAUUUUUGAUCGCGUAAUCGAAAUAUCGGCACCUCUCGCAUUGUGGCUUGCAUGUGACCAACCAAGUGCUGUUCCCUUACUAGCGCUUCCUACAAACGACAAAACGAAACAUGUGGGAAUGUAUAUUUUUGAUUACUCAUAUGUAACAAGAAAAUGUAUCGUUUUCAGGUUGCUGCCACUACUCCAUGUGCCCGCAAUUGUCUUGCGUGUAUGAUUACACUAACGGCGUCGCCCACCACGGCGGAAGUGUUUUGCGUACACGCGUUUCAGCAUGAAGCCUGCAGGUGGACGUAAAUUGUAGAAGGCAGCUAGUGGGGGAGAAGAUCAUGGUCAUAGGUCAUGUGACUCCUGGAGCUCCCAGUGGGCUCCCUUGUGGAGUACUUUUCAGAACACACACACACACACAGUUUGCUCACAGAACCAACGAGUAGGAUGUUGCUUGAAUACUGAGAGAAAAUGGCGUAACACAUACAAAUAUCGUGUGACACAUAUGACAAUAAAAACAUUUUUCACGAGGGA